UGACCUCGGAUCAGGUAGGACUACCCGCUGAACUUAAGCAUAUCAAUAAGCGGAGGAAAAGAAACCAACAGGGAUUGCCCCAGUAACGGCGAGUGAAGCGGCAACAGCUCAAAUUUGAAAUCUGGCCCUCGGGUCCGAGUUGUAAUUUGGAGAGGAUGCUUCUGGCGCGGCGCCGUCCGAGUUCCUUGGAACAGGACGCCAUAGAGGGUGAGAGCCCCGUACGGGCGGACGCCUAGCCUUUGUGAAGCUCCUUCGACGAGUCGAGUAGUUUGGGAAUGCUGCUCAAAAUGGGAGGUAAAUUUCUUCUAAAGCUAAAUACCGGCCAGAGACCGAUAGCGCACAAGUAGAGUGAUCGAAAGAUGAAAAGCACUUUGAAAAGAGGGUUAAAAAGUACGUGAAAUUGUUGAAAGGGAAGCGCCUGUGACCAGACUUGCUGCCCGCGGAUCAUCCGGCGUUCUUCGCCGGUGCGCUCCGCGGGCGGCAGGCCAGCAUCGGUUCUCCUGGGGGGCUAAAGGUUGCGGGAACGUGGCUCCUACGGGAGUGUUAUAGCCCGCUUCGUCAUGCCUCCGGGGGGACCGAGGACCGCGCUUCGGCAAGGAUGCUGGCGUAAUGGUCACCGGCGACCCGU
rnacentral:rRNA from 1 species